GUGCUCACUUUGGCAGCACAUAUACCAAAAUUGGAAUGACAGAGAGAAGAUUAGCAUAGCCCCUGCGCAGAUAAUAUUUUAUUGUUGAAAAUUAAAAGAAGCCAAC